CCAGGAUCUGCUUUGAAGACUACAAGGGGAGCUCCUCACUUUUAAGGCCUUGGGCAGCAGUCUUUGCAGGUUCAACAGUUCUUAUCCUCUCUAAGCUAUCCCACCGGCCAUGGCUUUCAUACGUCAGUUCCGACUUCUUUUGUGGAAGAAUUACAUCCAGCAGAAGAGGCAGAUUUUUGUGACAAUUAUCGAGAUUGCGCUCCCUCUGCUGUUUUCUGCCAUUUUAAUUGCCCUGAGACAGCGUGUUACUUCAGAAGCUUUCCCAAAUGCCACAACUUAUGACAAGUUUUCAGUGAAACAGCUUCCCCUAUCGGGUUCUUUUGAACUUGCCUACAUUCCAGGAAAUGUCAGUGUCGUUCAGCGCCUUGCCAUCUCAGUGGGAAAAUCACUCACGCCUGAUC